AUCCGGUGCUUGCACCGGGGAUUAGUGGCGAACGGGUGAGUAACACGUGAGUAACCUGCCCUUAACUCUGGGAUAAGCCUGGGAAACUGGGUCUAAUACCGGAUAUGACUGAUCAUCGCAUGGUGGUUGGUGGAAAGCUUUUUGUGGUUUUGGAUGGACUCGCGGCCUAUCAGCUUGUUGGUGAGGUAAUGGCUUACCAAGGCGACGACGGGUAGCCGGCCUGAGAGGGUGACCGGCCACACUGGGACUGAGACACGGCCCAGACUCCUACGGGAGGCAGCAGUGGGGAAUAUUGCACAAUGGGCGCAAGCCUGAUGCAGCGACGCCGCGUGAGGGAUGACGGCCUUCGGGUUGUAAACCUCUUUCAGUAGGGAAGAAGCGAAAGUGACGGUACCUGCAGAAGAAGCGCCGGC
rnacentral:rRNA from 1 species